rnacentral:rRNA from 1 species
GGCCUAACACAUGCAAGUCGAGCGGAUGAAGGGAGCUUGCUCCUGGAUUCAGCGGCGGACGGGUGAGUAAUGCCUAGGAAUCUGCCUGGUAGUGGGGGAUAACGUCCGGAAACGGGCGCUAAUACCGCAUACGUCCUGAGGGAGAAAGUGGGGGAUCUUCGGACCUCACGCUAUCAGAUGAGCCUAGGUCGGAUUAGCUAGUUGGUGGGGUAAAGGCCUACCAAGGCGACGAUCCGUAACUGGUCUGAGAGGAUGAUCAGUCACACUGGAACUGAGACACGGUCCAGACUCCUACGGGAGGCAGCAGUGGGGAAUAUUGGACAAUGGGCGAAAGCCUGAUCCAGCCAUGCCGCGUGUGUGAAGAAGGUCUUCGGAUUGUAAAGCACUUUAAGUUGGGGAGGAAGGGCAGUAAGUUAAUACCUUGCUGUUUUUGACGUUACCAACAGAAUAAGCACCGGCUAACUUCGUGCCAGCAGCCGCGGU